GGGAAAAGCUCAAAUUUUGAAUCUGGCGGUCUUUGUGGCCGUCCGAGUUGUAAUCUAGAGAAGCGUGUUCCGCGCUGGACCGUGUACAAGUCUCCUGGAAGGGAGCGUCAUAGAGGGUGAGAAUCCCGUCUUUGACACGGACUGCCAGUGCUAUGUGAUGCGCUCUCGACGAGUCGAGUUGUUUGUGAAUGCAGCUCAAAAUGGGUGGUAAAUUCCAUCUAAAGCUAAAUACUGGCGAGAGACCGAUAGCGAACAAGUACCGUGAGGGAAAGAUGAAAAGAACUUUGGAAAGAGAGUUAAACAGUACGUGAAAUUGCUGAAAGGGAAACGCUUGAUGUCAGUCGCGUUCGCCAGGGAUCAACCUUGCGUUUAUUGCUCGGUGCAUUUCUUGGUUGGACGGGUCAGCAUCAGUUUCGAUCGAGGUAUAAUGGCGGAGGGAACGUGGCACCUCUAGGGGUGUGUUAUAGACUUUCGUCGUAUGCUUGGGUGGGGACUGAGGAACUCGACACGGACGU
rnacentral:rRNA from 1 species